CCAGAGCUGCUGCCUUUGUCUGAGGGAGCAGCGAGCGCCGGGAUUGGCAGAGUCCUGCGGGCGGCUCAGCCAAUCAGCGCGCGGCGGGGCCGGCCGGCUCGAUGGCGAUUGGCCGCGAGCGCCGGUUACUAAGCGGGACAAAGGAAGGCGAGCGCUGGGGCGAGAGCGGGGUUCGGGGGGCGCGGGGUGACCCGGCCCCGCUUCCCGGCCCCGCUUCCCGGCCGGGCAGCGCCCCGACACCGCCCCGACACCGCCCCGACACCGCCCCGACACCGCCGUCUCCAGCGCUGGCCCUGAGGAAACUCCUCCUGCCCACAUCGCCGGCGGGGCUGCCCCCGCCCCGAGCCGGUGCGCCGCAGCACCGGGGCUACCUGCCGCCCUCCGGCCCGGGCCGGCCGCCGUGUGGGGAUGAGUGAGGCCUGUGGGAGACCCGGGCACACGGGACCCUCUGAAGGCAGAGCCGGUGGCCACAUCCCCGGCGGGAGCCUGUCCUGGCUGACCCCUCAGCCGCUGCACUGGCCACAAACAGUGGCCCUCCUCCCUCCUCUGCAGGGCCCUGGCAGCCGCCUGCUGUGUUUGGGAUAAGUCUGAGCUGCAAGCACACCCGAAAUGGAACCUCAGCCUGCCUGGCAGCCACAUCCCGAUGGGCAGCCACAGCCCGCAGCCCGCAGGCACCGGCGGGAGGCAGAAGUGCAGCCAGCUCGGCACUCAGCCUCGGUUUUGGCGCGGCGAAGCAUCCUUAGAGAAAGGCUGCUGCUGAGAAAUUAAGGAAGAGUCCUUUCCCCAGACUCCCAACCAGUGUCAGAGGCACAAGGAUGAACAACACCUUGAUCUGCUGUGGAAAUCUCAGGGAAUGUUGGAAAAUCCAACACCAAAGGUGUCUGCUUUACUUGCACUUCAAAGCGUAGAAGAGCAAGUGACGAAUAAUUUGUCCUGCUCUGGCAUUAGGUAGCAGCUCCUGAAAACACCCUUCUGACUUGGCUGAACCUUAGGGUGACUGUGACAUUGAAUAACCAAAAGGCUGGGCCCUAUGGAAGAGUAUGAGGGAAGAUCUGAAGUUUGCUGAUGUAUCACAACUUCCACAGCAAGCAAUUUAGAGCAGGCUGCUCCAGGCACAGAGCUCCUUGAGGGAUGGAUGGCUGCAGAAGAGCACAGGGCUUUGAUUCAAGUCACUCACUGCACAGAAAUUAAUUUUAUAAACCCAUCCACAAACUCUGAUUAAUCCACGAUAACCAGAUAUGAUUCCUUUUUCUAAUUCUUAAAUUAAAUUAUUGAGCUGA